rnacentral:rRNA from 1 species
AACGACGCUGGCGGCAGGCUUAACACAUGCAAGUCGAACGCGUCCUUCGGGACGAGUGGCAGACGGGUGAGUAACGCGUGGGAACGUACCCUUUGGUUCGGAACAACGCCGGGAAACUGGCGCUAAUACCGGAUAAGCCCUUCGGGGGAAAGAUUUAUCGCCAGAGGAUCGGCCCGCGUUAGAUUAGCUAGUUGGUGAGGUAAUGGCUCACCAAGGCUACGAUCUAUAGCUGGUCUGAGAGGAUGAUCAGCCACACUGGGACUGAGACACGGCCCAGACUCUUACGGGAGGCAGCAGUGGGGAAUCUUGGACAAUGGGCGAAAGCCUGAUCCAGCCAUGCCGCGUGAAUGAUGAAGGCCCUAGGGUUGUAAAAUUCUUUCGACGGGGAAGAUAAUGACGGUACCCGUAGAAGAAGCUCCGGCUAACUUCGUG